ACCGGACUUUGUUCUAACAGGCUUUCCCUGGCUGUUGAGUGGCGAAUAGAUUGAGGGGCUGACGUGGCAGGAGAAAGCUUACAUCUGUCCAGGACACCCCUGACCCAUCUUGAAAGAUUCUUAAAAUGGCUUCUGGACAGCUUAAGAUUAUGUAUAUGGCUCUCAUUAUCCACUCUUCUGUUAUACUGCUAUGAUAUUUAUGUGUGAAACUUCCCCAGGAAAAGAAGGCUCAUUUUUGUCCAUUUAUUUUUUUCUCCACCACUGAAUCUUUGGUAUUAGACCUGUGCUUGACACAUAGAAGGUACUCAAUGAAUGUUUGCUAAAUGAGGGAAAAUUCAGGGUGUUAAAUUUUUUUUCACUAUCAUAGAUUUUUCUGUCAUAAACAUCUUUGUACAAGUUAGUGUAUGAGUAUGUGCAUGUAUAUUUUAUUUAUUCCCUUAGGAUAAAUUCCAGUAUCAUUGUAUAAAAAAUCAUAGACCAUUUUAUAACCUGUUAAACAUUGCCAAGUUAAUCUCAGAAAAGAUUGAACCAAUUUACAGUGCCAUCAACACUGUAAAUUGGUUCAGAAUAUUUAUUGGUCUCCUAAUGCCAACUUUUAAAGGGUUGUAGAAUGACUAGCAAUGUGGUGUCGGGCAAGUUAGUUUUCUGAAACUCAAUUUCUUUAAACUGUAAAAUGCAGAAAAUAAGGUUGAAAAUUAAGUAAGCAAAUGAACAGGCAAAUACUUCUGUAGUAUUUGCUUCCCAUGAAGGAGGUAUUAAAUGUAUGAUACCAGUUUUUAAAAAAUUGGAGCAUCAUAGUGUUUUCUUACAGUAGUCAAGAACAUGGUGGUCUCUGCUGGGCUUGUAAAUUGCCAGGUGAGGGUGGCAGAUGGUUACUCUGGGAUGGCAGUUGAAGAAAUCAAAGUCACAUAAUGGAAACUGCUAGAGCUUUCAGAAUCACACACGUUUGGGAGAAGAAAAUGGCCUCAUGCUUUUGCACUCUUUAUUCUCUAGCUACAAAGAUUUAUUUAAAAUAAUUGUGGGAGCUGAUAUCUAACGUAUGCCUAAGAACUCGAUCCCAGAAAUAUUUUAUUUCAAAUGAAUGUUUUCUACUUCCUAGCAAACAAGAAAAAAAUGUUCUGAAUAAAAAUCCCCUUGGAUGAUGA